rnacentral:tRNA from 1 species
GCGACCGUAGCUCAACUGGUUAGAGCAAUCGUUUGUCAGGCGAUAGGUUGCCGGUUCAAAUCCGGUCGGUCGCG